rnacentral:rRNA from 1 species
UACGGGAGGCAGCAGUGGGGAAUAUUGCACAAUGGGCGCAAGCCUGAUGCAGCCAUGCCGCGUGUAUGAAGAAGGCCUUCGGGUUGUAAAGUACUUUCAGUCGUGAGGAAGGCGUUAAGGUUAAUAACCUUAGCAAUUGACGUUAGCGACAGAAGAAGCACCGGCUAACUCCGUGCCAGCAGCCGCGGUAAUACGGAGGGUGCGAGCGUUAAUCGGAAUUACUGGGCGUAAAGGGCACGCAGGCGGUUAAUUAAGUUGGAUGUGAAAUCCCCGGGCUUAACCUGGGAAUGGCAUUCAAGACUGGUUAGCUAGAGUCUUGUAGAGGGGGUAGAAUUCCAUGUGUAGCGGUGAAAUGCGUAGAGAUGUGGAGGAAUACCGGUGGCGAAGGUGGCCCCUGGCAAAGGACUGACGCUCAUGUGCGAAAGCGUGGGGAGCAAAC